rnacentral:rRNA from 1 species
UACGUAAGGUGCAAGCGUUAAUCGGAAUUACUGGGCGUAAAGCGUGCGCAGGCGGUUCGUUGUGUCCGAUGUGAAAGCCCCGAGCUCAACUUGGGAAUGGCAUUGGAAACUGGCGGGCUGGAGUGUGGCAGAGGGGGGUGGAAUUCCACGUGUAGCAGUGAAAUGCGUAGAUAUGCGGAGGAACACCGAUGGCGAAGGCAAUCCCCUGGGCCUGCACUGACGCUCAUGCACGAAAGCGUGGGGAGCAAACAGG